rnacentral:lncRNA from 1 species
UCUCCUUGGGUAUACUCCUGACCCACAUUCAAGAAGUUUUGAUCCUAAUGUAGGAUGUGCAUAUCAUUCUGAUGUUCAGGGUCACAGUAUUGAAGAUUAUCGUGCUUUGAAAAGAAAAAUUGAAAAGAUGAUUCAAGACAAAUUGAUUAUGGUGCAGAACAUUGACAGUGAGAAAAACUCUAGUCAUGUUGAUAUACAAACCAGUGGCUAAGAUGUCAGGCCGAGCAAUUGAGAAGUCACC